rnacentral:lncRNA from 1 species
UAAUCAUAAAUCAUUUUGGAUUCUUUACUUUUUCUCAAUGUGCAAUUACAGCUUAUUAAUCCUAAAUCCUAAAAAAUAGCAAUUACAGAUAAACUCUUUAUACAUAAUAAUGAAUGUCACAAGCUAUGACAAAUAAAGUAUACAAUAAUUUUACUGAUAAAAGAUAGUUUUAUUAGUAUUCAAGCAAACCAAUUACAUUCUGAUCACCCUGUAUAAAUACAUCGUCAUGUCGUAAGAUUUCACAUUAAAAAACAGAAUCUAAAACACCAUGGUUGUCACUACACUGUUGUAGCUUUAUACCCCUGAGACUGCAAUGCUUCACUACUUGGCAAAGCUCGAUCUAUUGCACUGGAUCAUCCCCACCAUAGACUAUAUUGUUGUUGUAAUGUUACCAUGCAUGUAAUCUGCUCUGCCAGUGGUAUCCUGACAUUAUUGGCAUUCAGUCCAU